rnacentral:rRNA from 1 species
CAGGACGAACGCUGGCGGCGUGCCUAACACAUGCAAGUCGAGCGAGGAGAUUCCUUCGGGAUGAUCCUAGCGGCGGACGGGUGAGUAACACGUGGGCAACCUGCCUCAUAGAGAGGAAUAGCCUUCCGAAAGGGAGAUUAAUACCUCAUAACAUUGCAGUUUCGCAUGGAACAGCAAUUAAAGGAGUAAUCCGCUAUGAGAUGGGCCCGCGGCGCAUUAGCUAGUUGGUGAGGUAACGGCUCACCAAGGCGACGAUGCGUAGCCGACCUGAGAGGGUGAUCGGCCACAUUGGGACUGAGACACGGCCCAGACUCCUACGGGAGGCAGCAGUGGGGAAUAUUGCACAAUGGGGGAAACCCUGAUGCCAGCAACGCCGCGUGAGUGAUGACGGCCUUCGGGUUGUAAAGCUCUGUCUUCAGGGACGAUAAUGACGGUACCUGAGGAGGAAGCCACGGCUAACUACGUGCCAGCCGCGGC